rnacentral:rRNA from 1 species
CCGGAUUUAUUGGGUUUAAAGGGAGCGUAGGCGGGAGGUCAAGUCAGCUGUGAAAUGUAUCUGCUUAACGGGUACACUGCAGUUGAAACUGGUUUUCUUGAGUGCGUAAGAGGCAGGCGGAAUUCGUUGUGUAGCGGUGAAAUGCUUAGAUAUGACGAGGAACUCCUAUUGCGAAGGCAGCUUGCUGGGUCGUUACUGACGCUGAUGCUCGAAGGUGCGGGGAUCAAACAGGAUUAGAUACCCUGGUAGUCCGCACAGUAAACUAUGGAUACUCUCUGCCGGCGAUAUAUUGUCGGUGGCCAAGCGAAAGCGUUAAGUAUCCCACCUGGGGAGUACGUUCGCAAGAAUGAAACUCAAAGGAAUUGACGGGGGCCCGCACAAGCGGAGGAACAUGUGGUUUAAUUCGAUGAUACGCGAGGAACCUUACC